rnacentral:lncRNA from 1 species
GCGGGUUAUUAUCGCGGGUGUAACAAUUCACGAUUUUCAUUGAAUAAGGUAUACAUGCGAAAUAUUUUGGAAGUUAUUAUUUUGGCGGAUUCAUAACUUUUAUCAUACCUUUGCAUGAUCACUUGAGGAAUUUAAUUUGGAGAUUUUAUUCUAUCCACGAAAAUUUACACCCCGCAAAAACAAACCGGUAUACGGUAUAUGAAGCGAU